UACAGAGGUCCCAAGCGUUGUUCGGAUUCACUGGGCGUAAAGGGUGCGUAGGUGGUUGGGUAAGUCUGAUGUGAAAUCUCCGAGCUCAACUCGGAAAUGGCAUUGGAUACUAUUCGGCUAGAGGAGUGGAGGGGGGACUGGAAUACUUGGUGUAGCAGUGAAAUGCGUAGAUAUCAAGUGGAACACCAGUGGCGAAGGCGAGUCCCUGGACACUUCCUGACACUGAGGCACGAAAGCUAGGGGAGCAAACAGG
rnacentral:rRNA from 1 species